rnacentral:rRNA from 1 species
GAGUUUGAUCCUGGCUCAGGAUGAACGCUGGCGGCGUGCUUAACACAUGCAAGUCGAACGAAGCGCUUGAAAUUGAUUUCUUCGGAAUGAUUUUUCUUGUGACUGAGUGGCGGACGGGUGAGUAACGCGUGGGUAACCUGCCUCAUACAGGGGGAUAACAGUUAGAAAUGACUGCUAAUACCGCAUAAGCGCACAGUACCGCAUGGUACGGUGUGAAAAACUCUGGUGGUAUGAGAUGGACCCCGCGUCUGAUUAGCUAGUUGGAGGGUAACGGCCCACCAAGGCGACGAUCAGUAGCCGACCUGAGAGGGUGACCGGCCACAUUGGGACUGA